rnacentral:rRNA from 1 species
AGUAUUAAAGGUCAUGCCUGCCCAGUGAAAUAUUUUUAACGGCCGCGGUAUUCUAACCGUGCAAAGGUAGCGUAAUCAUUUGUCUUCUAAAUAAAGACCAGUAUGAACGGCUAAAUGAGGACAAACCUGUCUCCUACAACUCAUCAGUGAAACUGAUCUCCCAGUCCAAAAGCUGGAAUAUUAACAUAAGACGAGAAGACCCUGUGGAGCUUAAAAUUAAGUCACUAACAAUAAACAACUAGUACAAAAUUUUAAGUUGGGGCGACUUCGGAACAAAACAAAACUUCCAAGCACAGAACCACUAUUUCUAACCGAGGCCCACAGGCCAAAGAUAAAAGUUGACCCAGUCAUACUGACCAACGAACCAAGUUACCCCAGGGAUAACAGCGCUAUCUUCUUCAAGAGUUCAUAUCGACAAGAAGGUUUACGACCUCGAUGUUGGAUCAGGGCACCCCAAUGGUGCAACCGCUAUUAAAGGUUCGUUUGUUCAACGAUUAACAGC